rfam:Necator americanus N_americanus-1.0_Cont228.1, whole genome shotgun sequence.
UAACAGGGUGUACGUGGUGGUCUGGUAAGUGUGUCGCUUAUGAGAUCACGCGUAUAUUCGCCGCG